UUUAUGCAAUAAUUUCAAAUUUCUUCAUUGACGACUUCACAAAAAAACCAACCUCGCGCUGCUCAUCUAGUUGCCAAAGUUCUUUUGUCUGAUGUCAGAACUAAAGUUUUAGUCUUCAAGAAAAUAAAUGGCUACUUCUUUUUUUAUAGUUCACUUGCGUUGUUAUUGAAUUGUAUUUUCCUUUAUAAGAAAUAGCAGAGGGCUGGAAGCGGAGAUCGCCCUGAGCACCCCAGAGUCUUGACAAGAAAAAAAGUAGGACUUUAGGCUUAUAGCCUACACAACUUUUGCACAGAAGUCCCAUUCGUCUACAACCAAAAGUCAUUAAAGGCAGUUAUCUCAAAUAUCAAAAAGUCCAGAAAUUGCUGAAUGGUGCAGUUGUCUUUAAACAUUCUACUUUUGAUUUUAUAUUGCAAGAGAACUGCUCAUUUAUUUCGUACGACAACAGCGUGCAAUGGAGCAGCCAACUUUUUGUGUUUCGUCUAAAAUUCAUUGGUCUAUGUAUAAACAAUCUUAAAGAUGUUAGUUAUGGAUGCAGGAACCUAGUCUCGGCUUCAUUCGAGGAUACAAGUAUUCCUUUCAGGGAAUGCUCUUGAAAAGAAGACAACGAAAAGCAAUGGUCAAUGAUAGUCAGCUGUUGCUUUGUGUACAUACAGGUUGAACUAUGUUUGUUAUUAGACCAACUCUACAGCUCCUGAACAAGUGAACAUCGAAGCAACAUUGGUGGAAACUUGUUUGAUAAACAACUAUCCACCACACACGAGCUCAUUGAAAAAUAGCUUCUAAAAACUAACAAUUUAUUUAAAAAAAAACAAAAAAAAAAACGGAUCCUUUAAUUCAUGAUGAU